AUUGGAGUCAGGUUCCAUCCUUUCCCAGAGCUCAUUUAAGGGUUGGCAGUGGAUUUGAGGCUGUUUCAUCUAAGAGUCUUAUAGGACUUUUGAAGACUCUCUUGGAGCACCAAGAGGAAUGGCCACCGUGGUGUCAGAAUUGUCCUGCUGGAAAGGACUUCUGGUGACCGUGUAGUCCAGGUUCCCUGCAGUAUGUUGCACAGGAAAGUGUCCAGGAUGAAGAUUUAUGGUCCAAAUAUUCUCUCUGGAUAUAAAAGCAACCCUGCAAUUGGACAACCCUUAUAGUUCUUACUGUACACUUUUGACGUUUCCUUUUCAAAAUGUAGGAUCCAGUGCCCAGUAUUGAGGUGUUGUUAUCUCAUGGGCAUGUAUACUGGAAACGUUGGAUGGUUUCUGUUUCUGUAUCUGUUCAUCAUAGCAUGUGCUUAACAUUCUCUUUGCAUCUGAACUGACGGUUUGACAGAUCUGUCAAACGGAUGAACGUUUCAUCUUACAUAUAAAUAGAUAAAUUAAAGCUCACCAGUAUUUAUAAACUUAAAACUACUUUUAUUAUAAUAUUAAUUUAUUUGCAUUUAUAUGUUCAAGAAUAUUAAUUUGCUUUUAUCAAUUUUAAUUUCAUUGGCAAUUGGUCUCACUUUUACUCUUAACACUAAAAUAUCUUUUGUGUUCAGAAUCUUAAGCAGAGUUUUGAAGGCUCAUCUGUAGAUUUACUGGUGACUGCCUUUCCCUCACACAGUUCAGGUCUCAUAUCCUACUACUGUAUGCCUAUAAGUAAACCCAAUCAUAACUCAUCACCUUCUCCUACCUUUCAUCUUAUUACAACAGUUGUUCGGAAUAGCCAGUGUAAUUGUCCUUAUCAUUAAGUCUUUGAAAUUUUAGGAGAUUUUUUAAAGAACAUGUUAUGUUAAACAUUGCCAAACAGUUUGAGAAACUACGUAGAUGUAGAUGCAUCAACCAUAUCAUGCUAUUUUAUUCAAGAUACAUCAUAAACAGCAAUUCACAUAGUCUAGAAACUCACAGAUCCAUCCUAUUUUUUUAUUUUAUGUAUAAAUAUAUACACAAUAUAUAUGUAUGACUUGACUUAGCUAUUUUCAUAUGGUAGAAUUCAAUCUGAAAUAAAACGUGAUCAAAAUGUUCAUCAUAUGAAUCUUAUUGCAAUAGAGCCAAUGUGUCAAGAAAUACUCCCUCAUAUUUAUAAUUUAAUAAAAACUUGUUCUACUUUUUCUCAUGUCUAUCUGAAUAUAAGGUCUGCAACAUGAAAUACCUUACCUGGGAAAGGUGAAUUUAAUUUUUAGAUUAAUACAGUUUAAUAUCCAGAAAUGAAAAUGAGAAAAAAUAGCAUAAAAUCAGGUUACAGGGAACAAUGUUUGAGAGCUGAA